rnacentral:rRNA from 1 species
UACAGAGGUCUCAAGCGUUGUUCGGAUUCAUUGGGCGUAAAGGGUGCGUAGGCGGCGGGGCAAGUCUGAUGUGAAAUCCCGGGGCUCAACCCCGGAACUGCAUUGGAUACUGCUCUGCUUGAGCACUGGAGAGGAGACUGGAAUUUACGGUGUAGCAGUGAAAUGCGUAGAGAUCGUAAGGAAGACCAGUGGCGAAGGCGAGUCUCUGGACAGUUGCUGACGCUGAGGCACGAAGGCCAGGGGAGCAAACGGG